rfam:Oryza sativa (indica cultivar-group) chromosome 11, whole genome shotgun sequence.
UUUAAAUACAGUUAUGAGUUUCUAUGUCUAACGUUUGAUUGUCUGUCUUAUUUGAAUUUUUUUUAUAAUUGAUAUUUUUAUUGUUAUUAGAUGAUAAAACAUGAAAAGUACAUUAGGCUUGACUUUUUUUAAAAGUUUUUUUUUCAUAAAAUUUUCAAAUAAAACGGAUGGUCAAACGUUGAACAUGAAAACCCACGAUUGCACUUAAA